GUCAACUUCGAGAGAUAUGAUGGGGUCAUAUCUGUUGUCAAUACCACACGCAUGCACUGGAGGUUUGUGUAUCAACAUGCUACAACUAACACCAUUUUCAUACUUGACCCUCAAUGUGGUAAUAAUGAAAUGGAAUUUGCCACACAAGCGUGCACAAAAUUCGGGGACUAUUUCAGGAUGAGAGGAAACCUGUAUGGAAGAGAAGACUGGGUGGACACUGUGUGGAAGCCUGGAACAAUCAACCAUUCAUUCCAGGAGGAUGGUUUCAACUGUGCUGUCUUUG